rnacentral:rRNA from 1 species
GUGUCAGCAGCCGCGGUAAUACGUAGGGGGCGAGCGUUGUCCGGAUUUAUUGGGUUUAAAGGGUGCGUAGGCGGCUCUAUAAGUCAGUGCUGAAAUAUUCCGGCUUAACCGGGAGGGUGGCAUUGAUACUGCAGAGCUUGAGUAAAGUUGAGGUGGGCGGAAUUGACGGUGUAGCGGUGAAAUGCUUAGAUAUCGUCAAGAACACCGAUUGCGAAGGCAGCUCACUAAGCUUUAACUGACGCUGAGGCACGAAAGUGUGGGGAUCAAACAGGAUUAGAUACCCCUGUAGUCC